GACAUAGGUGGCGAACGUUAUCCGGAUUUAUUGGGCGUAAAGGAUGCGUAGAUGGUGGAAUAAGUUAUUGGUAAAAGUCAAGCUCAACUUGGCGGAAGCUGGUAAUACUAUUCUACUUGAGGAUAGGAGAGGUUGGCGGAAUUCUGUGUGGAGCGGUGAAAUGCGUUGAUCUACAGAGGAACACCAAAAAAGGCGAAGGCAGCCAACCAUUCUAUUCCUGACAUUGAGGCAUGAAAGCGUGGGGAGCAAACCGG
rnacentral:rRNA from 1 species